UGAAGAAGUUUGAAUUUACUUAAUUUAUUUCUUGUAAUAUCAAUCUAUAAACUCAGUUGAAAUAGCGUGAUGGACAAUGAGGAAGAUAAAAGGCCACCCAUGUCUUCUACACCAAUUCCAUCGACUUAGGAUAUUAUGGUCUAGGAAAUGCUUACUACCUGCCAUUUAUGAUGCAUCCAAAUACAUAUCCGAAUUCAUAUAUAUACGCAUGGGCUAACCAGGCCCCACCAAUGCCACAUUUUUCAACAACGUUCAUCUACCCUCCGUCGACUAAUGCAAAUGAGUCAAGCCGUCUUCAACAAACGAUCCAGCCCCCACCAAUGCUAUCUUUUCCAACAACGUUAUCUAUCCUUCAUCGACUAAUGCAAAGGAGUCACCCUCAGGCUGUGUUCAACCAACAAGCUAGGUUCUUCCUUUCUUUUCCUAAAUUUUUGUCAUUGAAUAUGAGCAUUGUUACAUAUUCUAACACCGUGCCUGAUAUAAGCCCCCACCAAUGCCACAUUUUCCAACAACGUUCAUCUACCCUCUGCUGACUAAUGCAGAGAUUCGGGUCGUCUUCAACAAAUGACCCAGUCCCCACCAAUGCCACAUCUUCCAACGACGUUCAUCUACCUUCCAUCGACAAAUGCAAAGGAGUCGGGCCAUGUUCAACAACCUAACCAGAUAUCAGGUGAUGUUCCUGCAGUACUGAAGGCUUUGGAGGAGAUUGGUUCUCAACUAAGGUCUAAAUUGAAUUUGGGAUGGAUAAUACUUUGUCUUUAAGACUUUAAUGAAACGUUUUUUUUUUUUUUUUGAAAAUCAAUGUUUAUAAUCCAGUUCCAUUUUAUUCAAGGAAAACCCACUGCGACAAGUGAUUUCUAUUAGCUCAGCAUACAACUAUAUUGCAAUCAGACCACCCCAACCAUUCUUGGACCCAACUUUAGGUUAUUGACUACAUUAUUGCUAAAAACCCUUAAAAAUGUUGAGGACCUUUGCAUUUGUUUCAGCUGCUUUAUGUAUAUUUUUUUCCCAAGUCUAUGGUGGGAAAGGUGAACAAAAGCAUCGACAAAUUCAAUUUUCUGGUAGCACUCAACAGGUAUGUCCAUCUUUCUUGGUUAUAUAAUAAUCAUUUGUUAAUACCACCAAAAUGAUGACAGAAACCAUUUUUCUCUUGUUAAUACUACAAGAGAAAAAUGAAGGAUAACUUCAAGAGCAAAAACACAACCUCAGAAACCACAACAUUACUAAUGAAAGCGAAAAAAAAUACAUUUUAUUUAAUAUUAAAACUCCAUAAACAUUUUUCCCACAACAAGAGCAAAAUGAGGGGGUAAAAUCCAACUUUCAAGAGUAAAACCACAACUUAGAAACCAUAUCUCCAAGCAUUAAUAAACUAAAAAAAAUAAAAACAACCAAAGUGAGAAAUGGAUUACCUUACUGUCAUGGAGUGGAAGACAUACACCAACAGGGAUGAAGGUUUUUUGCGAUUUUGGAAGUGAGAGGAGCAAAAUGGGAAGGAGAUUUUUGUGAUUCGGAAGUGAGAAGAGCAGAAUGGGUCUUAGAAUGGUUUGCGAUUGCGAUUUGAGGCUUAUGAAGGAGACGAAGGUUUUAUGCGAUUCGGAAGUGAGAGGAGCAUGGGUCUGUGAUUGCGAUUCUAUACGACCUGGGUUUUCUAUGAUUUGAAAUUUAUUGGAGCAUAAUGGUUCACCAUUGAUUCGGAAGUGAGAUUGCGAUUCCACCCAAUGAUGAAGGUUAAGGUUUUCUGUGAG